CAAUUAAAACCGAAUGGCCAAAUGCAAUUGCCAAUUCAUUUCAUUACGGAACUCUGAAGCCUGAAGGACCAAAUCACGUCUUGAGCAGUGAGCUGUCUUGAGUCAUUACUGAAUUGCUAUAUGAAGUCUGAUGCUCUGAUAUGACAUUGUGAACUGUCAAAAUUAAAGAGCACCUGGAAAAAAAACUGAAAAGCCGCCUAUACGGACUUAUAAAAGUGGUAGACGCAAUUGGACAUUGGUUAUUGAAAGACAACAAGUGGAAAAGUUCAUCGAAGAAGUUACCUGAAUUCUGGAUAACAUAUUAAAUAAAAUUAUGAUAAUUAUUUGUUAAAUUUAAUAAUCUCAAAUAUAUUUGUUAUUAUUUAAAUAUAAGUUAAAUAAAAUAUAAAUUAACUUAUUUA